CAGAACACAGAUUUUCAGAUGCUCUCUGUGACAUCAUCUCAUUCAGAGCAGACUUUAAGGUGUUCUCCAUGACGUCAUCUCAUUCAGAACACAGACUUUCAGAUGUUCUCCACGGCACAAUCUUGAAGUUGUUUUGUAAAAUAUGAGAGAGUGGAAUGAUAACUCCAGAUGGUUAUGCCUCAUUUCAGAGCAUGCAGCAAGCCAAUGGUGCUCAUUUGGGGCCUGUAUUUUACUUGCCUGUUAUGGAAGAUAAUUCAGGCCAAAGACCUUGUUUCCAUUGUUUCCAAUACCAAAUGACCUGUUUCAGGAUGAGAGGAAACAGCGGUCAUGUAGACAGUCUUUAACUGUGCAGCAGGUGCUGGCACCUGUAGCCACUUAAAUCCAGCCAAGAUAAUCACUCCUCUCUCACUGCAGCUGGCUCACAUCAAGUAUUAUCCUCCAUCACUGGAUCUAUUUGGAGAUAUUAAACCACGGCUUUCCCCCAGACAGUUUCCCUUGCCUUGAUGGAAGGAAACCAAAUCAACAUAAUGUCUUGACAAUGCCUAGUCAAAGACACAGAGAAAGGAAAGUCACAAAACAACAAACAGAAUUCACCAAGUGUUUGAUGAGCAAUCGUAUGCCUGGCGUAUUCACUCACUGCUCCACGCCUGUUGAGCAGGUGCCCCAUUCAGUCUCCAUUCCACAAUUAAGGAGACAGAUCAAUGAGCUGCUGACUGGUAUAUCUGAGACCUCAGAAAGAACCCUCUAGAGAGAGAAUGAUGAGUACAGCCACAGACUCAGAGUUCCAGACCGAGUAUAUUCUCAUCAGCAAUCCUUAAAGAACUGAAAGAUGACAUGCAACAGUAGGAACUGCUUGAUGAUGUACCAACGUGGAUGGGAAAUUUCACAGGGCCUCAUCCCUAGGUGAAGAGCUAUAGGCAAUUAAUGACUACUAAGAUUGAGAGAAUUAGUCUGUCUCAGGGAUGAGGUUCAUAACUCAUAAUAUCCAAUCCUGUGUAAUCUGUCCUUAAAACAUACAUAUAAACAGCACUAAACAGAG